GGUCUGCUGCGGAUCUCGUCGAAGGCAACAAAUCCCAGAGACCUUAAUUCUCUCUACGGGAGCUGUCCCUGUCCGGGCUCGUGGGCCCGGGCAUAUGGCGCCCACCUGGUAUACCAGGUCCGAGGGGUUUUAACCGUCCUUCACGGCUCUCGCGGCGCCGC
rnacentral:other from 1 species